ensembl:lncRNA
UUUUUUCCUUCAGUAGUUGAUAGAAUUGACUACUGGCCCCAUGUGGGUCUGGAAUUUUUUUUUUACUAAAGUCCUGCUUUUCUUUCCCCAGUCAGCACCAGGGCUUUGGUGCUGUAAGACCAAGGGCCUUACCAAAUGCUCCGAGGAGCUGACUAUAGUGAAGCACACCCACGGAUCCCAGCGGUGCCUCCAGAAUGCAAGGCCAAGGGCCUUACCAAACGCUCCAAGGAGCUGGCUACUGCGAGGACCACCCGGGAAGGAACACACCGGCCAUGUUGGAAAACAGACCUUUAUUAGUCUGGCCAGACGGCACUCCCGAAGCAAAAUAGCUCAGAGAGAAAACAGCAUGAAAGCUGAAGCAGCACUGAAGUAGAAACAGUAAUGGAAAAUCUUCCUCUCUUCAUCAUUUCCAACUGUAGUUGUUGGGGUUUUUUUUUGUCCAUUGUCCAUCAUAAAUAUUGCUCAAAUCCAUCUCCCAUACAUAAUUUCUGCUGUUUUUUUUUUUUUUUUAGAUCAACAUUUUGUCCUCAGUUAAACUACCACAUCAAUAGACUUCUGUUAUUUUGAUUUCAUUUUUCACAUUCCUGCAGAAAUAUCUUUCUAAGCUGCAAAUAUGGUCUUGUCACUUUCAGGCAGAAACACUGAAAGAGUUGUAAUGUCCUAAGUGUAGCAAGAUCAAGAUCCUUGUUUCCUAGUCCCUCUGGAGGUUGGACUACAUCUGCAUUGAUUUUUCACCACUCCUAGAUGCAUUCUUUUCUUACUCUAUUUCUAGUUUGCGUUAAUGAUUUUCUUUCCAUGUCUAAAACAUUAUUCUUUAUAAAGAAGCUAAGCUUUGAUGUAUUUUCUAAUUCCCUUAGGCAGAGUUCAUUAUUUUUAUAUUUUUAUUCAAAACCAGUUUACUUGAAUACAUUAUUCAUCUUUGUUUUCUAAGUGCCUUAGCAGUUCAUGGGACAAGCACAUAUUUUUUUUUCACUAAAUAAUUUUGUUGUUGGCUUGACCAUACUAUGAAAAUUCAAGACUUUGCUCAGUACUGGAGAUCAUAGACAAGCAUAGUCUUUAUUAGUCUGGCUAAGUAAUAGAUCAUGAAUUCAUGGGAAGAAUAAUAAAAUGUGCACUAUUUCUUUAGAAAAUUAUAACUUGGUUUUAGUUUUCUAAACUACUAUUAUUGGGUAUAAAUAAAUAAGGUUUCACAAUAAUUUCAACAAUUCAUAUUAUUCUUUGUUUUACAUGUAGAACAAAAUGUCACCUAAAUCAGUUUUGCAGUCUUAACCUAUUUCAAAAAUAUACAGAUGACAGAUUAUAGUUUUAACUCCUCAUUGGUAUUUGCAAUUCUACUCCCCUAUUCUCCUUUUAAAUAUAUCACAUAUCAAAAUAUGGAAAGUAGGAUUGAAAUUUUAAUGAAUUUUAAAAUAUAUACUCAAUGUUCUAAAAGCAUUGCUCUUCCUUUUUAAAUUCUUUCACCAUUAGUUAGAAGUAUAUGCAGUGGCAGCAUUAUAGAUAGUUGCAAAAGGGUAGUAUUAGGGGUUAGAUAGUGGUUCCUAAGCUUAUAUUGUAUACAUCAACUAAAUAAACCUUCUAACAUUUUUAAUUUACAACAUUAAAUGACCAAGGUUAAAUUCAGAAAACCUAGGAAACUGGAGAAAUUCGGUACAAAUAAAAACAAUCCUUUCACUUCAAUAUCUUCUAAGUAAAUAUCUUCACUAGAACAUUGAGCAGGGUUUCUCAUUCUUAGCACUACUAAUAUCUGAUCUAGAUCAUUCUUUCUUGGGGGAGAGGCUGCUGUCCUGUGCAUUUGUAGCAUGUCCAGCAGCAUCUCUGCCUCUACCUAGUGGAUGCCAUGAACAAUAUCUCCAGAUGUUACCAAGUGACCACAAAAGCAUGCAAAAUCACCUCUUACACUGAGAACUACUGACAAAAUGUAGUGGUUUUUCUUCUUCAUUAUAAAUAUUGGUAGUUUAAAAAAGGUAAAUCUCAUAAGUAUUCUGCUUUAUAGAGUAUUGAAUACAAUAUUAAAUAAAACUUCAUAUCAAAAGAAGUUAAUAGAUAAUUGCUUAGCCAGAUCAGUUUUAGCUUAUUAGAAAAUGUCUUUGGAGUUUUUUUAUUAUAUGAUUUAGUGAAAAGUAUAAGAAAUAAUAUAGCCUGAACUCUCCUAGUAGGAGAGCUUCCUAACCACUCAGGGCCAACAUUUCCUUAUCUAUGAUAGUAAGUGAUCUUUACUACCUUAGCAAGUUCAACAUCUUUAAUGCCAGGAAGCUAAACAAAUGAGUUAUUGCUUAUCAAUAUAUUCAUUAAACAUAUUUAUUAUGUGCCUGCUAUAUGUUUGGCAUUUCUUGUUAACAUUUAUCAAUAUGAU